GAAUGCUGUCUGGUCCAAGGAAAAUACUGUAAUAUACCAAAAUUAGCUAUUGCACAGUGGUCGACCGGGGGGCAAGUGAUCCUUUCUUGGAGAGAAUUACGACGUUUUUGGAAAAUUUUAACAACGAAAACGAGCUCUACAUCCAAGCGGAUUUAAGGACUGAUCCUGCUGCCUAUGCGACUACGUUGCGCCUUCGAAGUAAAUCUUACGAAACAAAUGCCAAUGUGGUGCAACGUUUCAUUAUACAAACACAUUAAAUAUGUAUGUAGGCACGGAAAAAUGUACAAAGCGCGUGCAAAUGCGAAAGGACACUGAAGCACGUUCGAGUGCAAAGAUUGCGGCUCCUUUUUCACCGGCACAAAAAGUCCUUAAAGCAUAAACGUGUUGCCUCCGCUAGUCCACCUGCCUCUGCUACUCCACCUUCCUUACGCUAGUCCACCUGACUCCGCUACACCGGCUCCCCAAGACGAAUCAUCUUACUUUGACAUUUAAUUGACGCAGUAACUUUCUGCCGUAUCAGCAGAUCAUAUCGGUGAAAAAAGGCACUGCACCUUCCGCGUUUGCACGCGCAUUUUCUGUGCUUAUUUUGGCAUGGCCUAAUAAAAGAUCUUUUAAACUUGCUUUUGAAGGCGCAGAGAACCAGACUUUUCGGCGAUACCCAAAUCGUAUGCCUAACGUUUAUGUUAUGU